rnacentral:rRNA from 1 species
AUUGAACGCUGGCGGCAUGCCUUACACAUGCAAGUCGAACGGUAACGCGGGGCAACCUGGCGACGAGUGGCGAACGGGUGAGUAAAGCAUCGGAACGUGCCCAGUAGUGGGGGAUAGCCCGGCGAAAGCCGGAUUAAUACCGCAUACGACCUAAGGGUGAAAGGGGGGGAUCGCAAGACCUCUCGCUAUUGGAGCGGCCGAUGUCAGAUUAGGUAGUUGGUGGGGUAAAGGCCUACCAAGCCGACGAUCUGUAGCUGGUCUGAGAGGACGACCAGCAACACUGGGACUGAGACACGGCCCAGACUCCUACGGGAGGCAGCAGUGGGGAAUUUUGGACAAUGGGCGCAAGCCUGAUCCAGCCAUGCCGCGUGCGGGAAGAAGGCCUUCGGGUUGUAAACCGCUUUUGUCAGGGAAGAAAUCCUUUGGGUUAAUACCUCGGGGGGAUGACGGUACCUGAAGAAUAAGCACCGGCUAACUACGUGCCAGCCGCCGUAAAAC